ACACAUGCAAGUCGAACGGCAGCAUGAUCUAGCUUGCUAGAUUGAUGGCGAGUGGCGAACGGGUGAGUAAUACAUCGGAACGUGCCCUGUAGUGGGGGAUAACUAGUCGAAAGAUUAGCUAAUACCGCAUACGACCUGAGGGUGAAAGUGGGGGACCGCAAGGCCUCAUGCUAUAGGAGCGGCCGAUGUCUGAUUAGCUAGUUGGUGAGGUAAAGGCUCACCAAGGCGACGAUCAGUAGCUGGUCUGAGAGGACGAUCAGCCACACUGGGACUGGGACACGGCCCAGACUCCUACGGGAGGCAGCAGUGGGGAAUUUUGGACAAUGGGGGCAACCCUGAUCCAGCAAUGCCGCGUGUGUGAAGAAGGCCUUCGGGUUGUAAAGCACUUUUGUCCGGAAAGAAAUCGCACUUACUAAUAUUAGGUGUGGAUGACGGUACCGGAAGAAUAAGGACCGGCUAACUACGUGCCAGCAGCCGCGGUAAUACGUAGGGUCCAAGCGUUAAUCGGAAUUACUGGGCGUAAAGCGUGCGCAGGCGGUUGUGCAAGACCGAUGUGAAAUCCCCGGGCUUAACCUGGGAAUUGCAUUGGUGACUGCACGGCUAGAGUGUGUCAGAGGGGGGUAGAAUUCCACGUGUAGCAGUGAAAUGCGUAGAGAUGUGGAGGAAUACCGAUGGCGAUGCAGCCCCCUGGGAUAACACUGACGCUCAUGCACGAANGCGUGGGGAGCAANCAGGAUUAGAUACCCUGGUAGUCCACGCCCUAAACGAUGUCAACUAGUUGUUGGGGAUUCAUUUCCUUAGUAACGUAGCUAACGCGUGAAGUUGACCGCCUGGGGAGUACGGUCGCAAGAUUAAAACUCAAAGGAAUUGACGGGGACCCGCACAAGCGGUGGAUGAUGUGGAUUAAUUCGAUGCAACGCGAAAAACCUUACCUACCCUUGACAUGCCACUAACGAAGCAGAGAUGCAUUAGGUGCUCGAAAGAGAAAGUGGACACAGGUGCUGCAUGGCUGUCGUCAGCUCGUGUCGUGAGAUGUUGGGUUAAGUCCCGCAACGAGCGCAACCCUUGUCUCUAGUUGCUACGAAGGGGCACUCUAGAGAGACUGCCGGCGACAAACCGGAGGAAGGUGGGGAUGACGUCAAGUCCUCAUGGCCCUUAUGGGUAGGGCUUCACACGUCAUACAAUGGUGCAUACAGAGGGUUGCCAAGCCGCGAGGUGGAGCUAAUCCCAGAAAAUGCAUCGUAGUCCGGAUCGUAGUCUGCAACUCGACUACGUGAAGCUGGAAUCGCUAGUAAUCGCGGAUCAGCAUGCCGCGGUGAAUACGUUCCCGGGUCUUGUACACACCGCCCGUCACACCAUGGGAGUGGGUUUUGCCAGAAGUAGUUAGCCUAACCGCAAGGGGGGCGAUUACCACGGCAGGGUUCAUGACUGGGGUGAAGUCGUAACAA
rnacentral:rRNA from 1 species